GCGAGCAGCGGCCGCGGGGAGCAGGAGCUGCCCCAGCGGAGGCGGCCGAGUUUCUGCGAUUCCUAUCGACUUUGGGAGAUGUAGGCAGGUCUGAUAGCUGCAUUGGAUCGCUGAUUGAGGUUCCCUCUAAAUUAUAACACUGAAAACAAUGGCAACAGAAUGUAUAAAAACCUGCUGUAAAUUGUGUUUCUGCAUGGACAAGGAAAAAAAUGAUCCAGUUUCCAUGGUGCAGGAAUCUGAAGCAGUAGCUGCAAGCAAGCCAACUAUUGUAGAGCAGCCUCCAUUGUCUUCUGUGUCAGUGAAGCGUCAAGUUGGCUGUUCUGAAGAUUAUUUGCUUUCCAAACUACCCCUGGAUGGUCAGGAGGUACCAUUUGUGGUCCCUCCAUUCAAACUGGCUUAUGUACAGCCAAAGAACCUUCCCAGUAUGUCACAUGCUGGAGGGAUUAAAGAGUCAGCCAGAGCCUCGUUUGGUGAGCGGAAGGCAGAGCUGCACGGCGCGUACCAGUGGCCUGGCUGUGACGUGUACAACCCCUUCUACCUGGAGCAUCGGGUUUCACCAGAUCUCAUCAGGCGCUUCCAAGCAAAAUCAAAUAGUAGGAAAUUGUAUGGAUCAGUUAGUGAUUUAAGACCCAGUGCUUUGCCUGGAUCCCUUGAUGUAAGUCGUUCGAUGUUUGAUCUCAGGAGCCCACCUCACCGAUAUAUGAAGAGAUAUGAUUCAGUCUCCAGUGUACCUAGCAGUUCCUCCUCCAGGAAGGAUUCGCAAGGCAGUAACAGGAGUCUGGAUACUAUUACAUUAUCAGGUGAUGAACGAGACUUUGGAAGACUGAAUGUGAAGUUGUGUUAUAUUUCUUCUGUAGAACAGAUUUGGAUCACAGUUUUACAUUGCAAAGACCUGAGCUGGCCUUCUAGCUGCGGGGAAAAUCCUCGUAUCUGUGUCAAGGGAAUUCUCACACUGCCCAAGCCAGUGCAUUUCAAAUCUUCUGCCAAGGAGGGCUGCAAUGACAUUGAAUUUAUGGAAACUUUUGUUUUUGCCAUUAAACUGCAAAGCCUGCAGGCUGUCAGAUUGGUAUUUAAAAUCCAGACACAGACUCCCAGGAAAAAAACUAUUGGAGAAUGUUCCUUGGCACUGCGGGAGCUGAGCUCACAGGAAUCCAAUCAUUGGCUGGAUAUAUCUCCUCCUUCCAAAGCACCUGUGUGCCGUGCAGAACUUCAAAUAGGAACUUGUUUUCAAGCAAUAAACAGGAGGAUACAGUUACAGAUUCUUGAAGCACAAAACCUUCCUGUUUCAUCCACGCCACUGUCUUCAAAUUUCUUUGUGAAAGUUGGAAUGUUUAGUACAGAAGGGAUCAUCUAUAAAAAGAAGACUCGCCUUCUGAAGUCCACUAAUGGCCAAGUGAAGUGGGGAGAAAUGAUGUUUUUUCCAGUUAGCCAAGCAGAACAAGGAAUUGGUUUUCUCAUCAAGCUCUACAGCAAAAGCUCAGUGAGAAGAAAACACUUCCUAGGACAGAUCUGGUUAAGUUCCGAUAGCAGCAACAGUGAAGCAGUAGAGCAGUGGAAAGAUACCAUUGCAAAUCCUGAAAAAGUUGUUGUUAAAUGGUACAGCAUUGGCCCAUCUUGAAGACUGGAGAAGAAAUUCAGAACUGAUUUUUUUACAGAAAUUCAUAUGCUAUCUAAAAUAGUAUAAAUUAAAAAUAAAGAUAUUGUCUGUGCAAGUUCUUCAGAAGUUCUCCACUGCAUCAUGCCUCUGUGGAAAUGAAAAAUUCAGUUUCACCAAGAUAAAUACUGGCUAAAUACUACUAAAAAGAAGACUUGGGAACUAGAAAAAGUCCUUGUUUGAUUUCACAAAAUCCAUCUUGAAAAAAAGAUGUUUGCCCCUUUUGGAUUUCAUAAAAGCACAAAAUUCAAUUUUGGGGAGAAGCAGCUUUAAUCAACUCUGUUUCACUAGCCACUGACAUCAUGCAUUGUUAUCUUUGGCAGACUCCAAAGUCCAGGGAAUGGGUCAUGUCAGUGGCUUGAUUCUGGGUACCUGUGAGCAUCUGGGGUUGUUGACACCAUUUGAUCAGAAUAACAUGUGCCUGAGCAAGUGGGGAAACUGUGGCAGCGGGAGAAGGUAUAAAGGGAAGUACACAAUAAGGCAGUACCCAUAGGCUUUUCUAAUCUCCGUUUUGGAUGAAGGAUUGUUCAGAAGGCUGUAGCUUGAGCUUGCCCCCAUCUUUUUCUCAAAACAGAGAGAUGGAAAGAUAAAAAUUCCUCUGACUUAGUGAUCUUUACAAGAGGAGCCCUCCGGACUUGCUCUGUUUGGGAACUAGAGCAGCAGUGACAGUACUCACUGCUGGAAGGCAAAAGAACAUGGGGAGCAGAGAAAAUGCUGUUACAGGAAGCACAUCCUCUUCAAGCAUACAGCUCAGAGCACCUUUACUUCAAGUUUUUUUUCUUUGAGUAUCAGGAAAAAAUGGAAUAGCUUAGAAUGCUUUUUUUUCAUCAGUUGAUAAUUGAAACUUUCAAAACUUCAGCCAUCCAGUUUGUUGUUGUUGAAAUUUAAUAUUUUGAAAACAGAAGGAUUUUUACAGACUUGUACAUAUUAUGCUUUUCAGCCAGUCAAUAUAAAAGAACUGAAAAAAAGUUUUGCAUGUUACUUGGAGAACAAACAUUGGUUCUAGCUCUUACUCUUUGCAAAGCUCCCAGUAGGCCCAGGGGAUUGACUGACACUGAUAAUUUUCAACCAGUUAAAACAGUUGGGAAGAGCCUGGCCUGCUGGGAAAAAUGAAAAAAUGAAGUGGGCUGAACUGAUAUUUUUGGAGUAUCUUUAUUUGAAUACAUGGAUCUUUUUUAUUCAUUGUGGCUGAACAUUUUAUUCAUUGUGGCAAUAAACAAAAGUGCAAACUAACUGUUUCCUGAUGCAGAAUGCUGUUUUGUUUAAAAGAGAGGACAGGGAAUAUCCCAGUGUUUUGUAGACUUCAAUUACCACAGCAGUGAUUCUAGAGAGCUUGCCAACUCAGUGGAUGCUGCAUAAAAAGGAUUUCUGGGACUCUUUUAGAAAAGACACUUACCCUUCUAAAGGCCUAACUAGUCUCUUUUUUGAUAUGCUAAUA